CUAAAAAUCAGCUGUACAGUGCCAUUCCCAAGUCUUACAGGCCACACAGCCCGUCAUUCAAGUUCCUUCUCAAAUCGUUAUAGAAACAUCAGCAUUUCCACAGGGUUUAUUUCUGCAUGCUGGAGUUCAGCUUGAAAUUGGUUAGGAUUUUAGGCUAUAACUGUUAUUGUACUCCCUCAGUCCUGCAUGGUGGCUCCCCAUGAACCUCAUAGAUACGCUCGUUUACAUCUCACUUGGCAUAUCGCAAGCUGAGGCAGAACCUGAAGGGGUUCUCCUGGUGCUGGGGAACUUUGGAUCGUAACCUGAAAUAGCCUCAGCUGCUGCGCAAAGCAUGCUUGUGUUGGCAGUGCAUUUAAUAGCUUACAUUAGUUUAUUUACAUGUGUAUUCUGGCCUCUACUGUAUAUUGAUCUGUGUCUCUGCAUUUUUCUGCCUAACUGCACUCUUCAAGGUGUGACUGUGCCGGUGUUGCUACAACUUGAAGGUUUAUCAUCGUGCAGCUUACCGGUGCUGGCGUGAAAUCGUACCGCUUUGAUGCACUCGCAGCUGAUUUCUAGAUCAGUGGCUGAUCCUGUGAAAACGUACGGUCCCCUGACAGAGGUCAGGUCUCAGGCAGAGCAGCCUCAGCCCAUCCACACGAGGCUGGGAAGUUGCAGUUGUGUGGAGAAAGUGGAGCUGGAGCUUGAACCCAGAUCUAAUCCUGUGUUUUGACUAAUUCCUCAUCACAUUGCUGCAGAGCAGAAAUGCCAUGUUCCUGAUCAUAUGGAAAAUGGAAAGAGGAGCUGGGAAUGGGACUUGGAUCUCCAGCAUGGACACUGCUUUGUGGAUGGGUUAUCACAAAAGACUGAGGAAAACACAAAUGCUUCAGCCCACCUCCUGUCCAGGGUUCCCAGAGCGCUUCAAAGCCCCAGGACAGGUUUGUGUGUCUGUGUGCGCUGGAAGGGAAGAAAGACUGCUGUCCUCCUGCACCUGACUGUUGGCUUUAAGGGUGCAGGGCACUGAAUGGCCCAGCACAGAGACUUCAUCCUCCAGCAGGGUGCCAGUGCCUCGGAGAUGAUGAUGUAGUCCCUAUGUGGGCCGCAGAAAGCACUUCGAGCCGUGCUGGAGUCGUGCUGGG
rnacentral:lncRNA from 1 species